CUAAGGGAUAUUGAGACAGAACUAGCUGAUGUGAAUGAGAAGCACAAUAUGACUGAGGCUUUUGAUGCCAAGAUGAAUGCUGCUGUCAUCGAAGACAAGUCCAAGAUGGAGGCUAUGGAAGCCGAAGUUGCCUGCUUGAAGAAGGCAUUGGAGGAGGCCAGAGUUGUGAAGGCAAAGAUUGAAGCUGACUUGGCUUCAGAGAAGGAGAAAUGAUGGGAUGCCCAGAUGCAUGGUAGUGGACACUUUCCAUGCGUCGGAGGAGUUCUCCAAGGAGAAAGUUGACUUCGGUUAGGAGGCCUUUAUCGUUGAGCGAGAUGUCUGCCAUC
rnacentral:lncRNA from 1 species